CAGUAGGUAGAAAGAAGGCUGA
rnacentral:miRNA from 1 species